CAAAUCCUGCAGGGUUUUAAAGCUUGGGAUUGGUUUCGGUCCAACGGAUCAAUUUUUCAGGAGACGUAAUGCUCCUUCGGCCGUUACUGUAACGUUUACGCUACCGACGGUGGAUCCUGCCCAGCAACAGUUCCAUCCGAAACAUGAAAUCGGCGUUCCGAAGCGCUCUUAUGGACCUUACCCUAUAAUUCUAAAUUAUAACUGUUCCUAAAACCCAGAGGUCACAUUAACAUGAAAUCCACUUGUCGGAACGCUCUUAUAGUCCUUUCACACUCCUUAAACCCUAAUUGUAAUCUUAAAUCUUCCUUUUCUCUUCUCCAAGUUCGACGGAUCAGUGCCAUUAGAGUUCCUCUCUCAUAUCCUUCGUGUUUCAGAAACGUAUACGUUCGGUUGAUGUGUUCAAAUUCUUCAUCCUCUACAAUGGCGGACAUUGGAGCUUAUUCAUCUUCCUCCUCUUCCGUGGAGAACCAAUUUGACAAUUUCCGUCUUCAGCUUGAAGAAUCUGGAAGAUUACGGGAGCGCAUUAGAGCGGUUUCGUUGGAGAUGGAGACCUCGACCCGGCUAAUGCAAUCGAGCCUCCUCCUUGUUCAUCAAUCUCGGCCUGUCCCAGAGGUCUUAGAGAAGGCAAAGGUCCAGAUUGAUGUUCUGAAAGAACUCUUCCAUCGGCUUGCUGAAAUCCUCCAGGAAUGCCCUGGGCAGUAUUAUAGAUAUCAUGGUGAUUGGAGGAGCGAGACACAGACGGCCGUCUCACUGCUUGCAUUUAUGCAUUGGCUAGAAACAGGAAAUCUUCUUAUGCAUAAAGAAGCUGAAGAGAAACUUGGAUUGGAUUCUUCUGAGUUUGGUCUUGAUAUUGAAGAUUAUCUUAUUGGAGUCUGUUUCAUGUCAAAUGAAUUGCAAAUUGUGCAAACUGCUGCGAUGCAUAUUGUGCAAACUGUUCCUUUCCAGCAGAUUGACCCUAAUAUGAAAAUGAUGGGAUCUUGCAGCCACGUUAUGUGGUGAACCGAGUGACAGCAGGGGACUAUGAUUGCCCAAGAAAGGUGUUGAAGUUCUUGACAGAUCUGCAUGCUGCUUUCCGGAUGCUUAAUCUCCGAAAUGAUUUCUUGCGGAAGAAGUUUGAUGGUAUGAAGUAUGACCUAAGAAGAGUUGAAGAAGUUUAUUAUGAUGUUAAGAUCCGAGGCUUGAUAACUAGUGGGGACUCCUCAGGAGACCAAGGAAUGCAGACAUAGGUUCGAGGCCGGAAUUCAGUCUACUAGUUGCUUCUCUCUAUGUUCUCUCUAAAUUGACACAUAACAUGAACUUUUUCUUCACAAUACCAUUGAAUUUUUUUCUGAGUUCGAGUAAGGAAACAACCUCUUUGCAAA